UACGUAGGGGGCAAGCGUUGUCCGGAUUUAUUGGGCGUAAAGAGCUCGUAGGCGGUUUGUUGCGUCGGCUGUGAAAUCCCGAGGCUCAACCUCGGGUCUGCAGUCGAUACGAGCAAACUAGAGUGUUGCAGGGGAGACUGGAAUUCCUGGUGUAGCGGUGAAAUGCGCAGAUAUCAGGAGGAACACCGGUGGCGAAGGCGGGUCUCUGGGCAGUUCCUGACGGCUGAGG
rnacentral:rRNA from 1 species